UCUCACAUGGGAUAAGUGAUCAAGGUCCCUCAUGGAAUUACAUACAUACUGUACACUCCCUGCUGAACAGGGGGUGUAGACCAAUCAUUUACAAUAUUAAACCACUGUAUGGUGCAUAUUACUGUAUGUAACUUACUAUGCAUAGAGUACUUACUGACAAAAUUAUCUUUUGUACAUUCCAGAACCCCCUGAAUGUGUAGGCUAUGGGGCAGCAUAAGACUUUGUCCAUCCAGGGUUACAUUGACUGAGAACUUUAAACUAAAGAACCCCCUGAAUGAUGUAGGCUAUGGGGCCACAUAAGACUUUGUCCAUCCAGGGUUAUAUUGAAAGACAACUUUAAACUAAAGAGCUACCAGACUGGGAUUUUAGUGUAUCAAGGAUCUAACAAAGUGUGCAAUGCAUGUGUAUACGUAUACA